AGGUCUUGACAUCCCUCUGACCGCUCUAGAGAUAGAGUUUUCCUUCGGGACAGAGGUGACAGGUGGUGCAUGGUUGUCGUCAGCUCGUGUCGUGAGAUGUUGGGUUAAGUCCCGCAACGAGCGCAACCCCUAUUGUUAGUUGCCAUCAUUCAGUUGGGCACUCUAGCGAGACUGCCGGUAAUAAACCGGAGGAAGGUGGGGAUGACGUCAAAUCAUCAUGCCCCUUAUGACCUGGGCUACACACGUGCUACAAUGGCUGGUACAACGAGUCGCAAGCCGGUGACGGCAAGCUAAUCUCUUAAAGCCAGUCUCAGUUCGGAUUGUAGGCUGCAACUCGCCUACAUGAAGUCGGAAUCGCUAGUAAUCGCGGAUCAGCACGCCGCGGUGAAUACGUUCCCGGGCCUU
rnacentral:rRNA from 1 species